CGCCAGCUGCCCAGGCAGUUCCUAUCCCUUUCGGAGCUCCAGCCUGCCCCUCCUGACGCUCUCAGAGUCUGGCCUUCUGCUGGGCCCCGGGUCUCUCACUGGCAGAAUGGAGUUCUCGGAGCUGAUCCAUACGGGCUGAGCCCAAGCAGAGUUUCUACGGGGCCCGGAGGCGCCCCCGCUUCGCGGCACGGUGUGAGUCACCGUCCACCACCUGCUCCUGUCGCCAGGGCCCGCGUCCUCUCCGGACCUGUGGCUGCUGCUGUUGCGUAGCGUCGACUCCUUCGAGAAGCAACCAACGCGUGGCGGCUGAGCGAGGUGAACGAGGACUUCAGCUUGUGCCCCAGAUACCCCCGUGCGGUGAUCGUGCCAUACUUGGUGGACGAUGAUGCCCUGGCGCGCAGCGCCCGCUUCCGUCAGGGAGGUCGCUUCCCGGUGCUCAGCUACCACCCGGCUCCCAGCGGCAGAGGGAGCGCGCCCUCCCCACGCUCCGCCCCUGGGUGGCUGCGUCCUUUCUGGGCCUUUUCUUUUUGGCCCGGUCAAUUCGCGGCGUAGCCGCUGCCCCAACUCCUGCCCCAUUCUGGUCCCGCCCCUCUCCCGCCUUUUCGCUGGGAAGGGUAUCACCUUUCUCUGGCCCCGCCCCUGACGGUUCCGGGCCCCGCGAAGCUUAGUCCCUUCUUUGUCAAGCCAGGACCCGCCCACGGUCUAUUCAUAGGGUCCCAAACCACUUUGGCCACAACACCCCCAGACUGGUCCGAAGCCUCGUGAGUUCGCCCUGGUCGUUGCACUCCAGCCUGUCGCUGUGCAGACCUGGCUUAGAGGACCCCUAAGGCUGAGGGGUCACUUCCAGAACUGAGUCCGGUCCGCAGGUUCUGCUACGCUCCAGCCAGCCCCUAACUGGUCCCCAGAAGCGGCGCUGCUACAGGGACCAGGAGCUGCUGCGAACUGCGCUGGCGGGGGCUCGUCCUUGGGCGCGGGGCUUCAUCAUGGACACGCUCUCGGCCCAGGCCGCGAAACAAGCCCGCGUGACUGGCGGAGGCACAGAGACCAAGGCCGCUUAACCUGGCUGGUUGCACUGGUCCCUGGAGAGCACUGAGCACAGGGGCUGCCACAGUGGCCGGCUCAGACAUGGCAGAGAUCAGCAGAGAAUGGGCAAUCAGGCUCCCCUGAGAUGAGCAGCAGCGCAGAGGAGGUGCCCCUCUCUUACUACACCAACUUCAGAGGGCGUCCCCUGCAGGAGAGCUUCAUGCGCCUGGUGGAGGCCUGUGGGGACUCGGAGCAAAGCAUGGACAACUGGCUGAGUCGGCUGGACGGCUGCCGCUGACUGUAACAUGUAAAGCAGGCACUGAGCACCACCUGCCUGGCAGUCCAGGGCAUGGAGAGGCACAGACAGCACCCUGCUUGUGACUUCACUGGCCCAACUCAUCCUGGACCCCUUGAGCAAGACCAUGGCUGGAUUCCAGGAACUGGUGGAGUGGAAGUGGAUCCAGGAAAAUGCCGUGUGAAGGGAGGACUCAGAUGCACUCCCUGUGGUCUGGGCUCAACCAGCCAAAAGAGCAACAAAGACUCCAGAACCCACUCUACCUCCUCAAUCCCUUGGCCAUCUGUGGAGCCCCAGAGCCUGCGGCUGUGGCAAGGCCUGUUUCUGCGCUGGACCUGCUCACCUGAGCCUGCAGAAGCUGCAUGGGGGAAGAGUGUGGCAAAUAGUGACAGGAAGGGAGAAGACAGAAGCCUCUCAGCCAACUGCUUCAGCCGAGCCCCUAUUCUAAGCACUGGCUCCUUGGAUAGCAGCUGAGAUGUUCCUGAAACCUCUGCAGGCCCCUUAGGACCUUUACACCUUGGAUGAGGGUGCCUGCAACCCAGGUUAGCCAAAAGUACUGAGGGUCUUAAGUUUGAAGUGUCCAAAGUAUAGGGAGGUCUCAAUAAUAAAAGUCUCCAUGAUCAGCA
rnacentral:lncRNA from 1 species